rnacentral:rRNA from 1 species
GGAAUAUUGGACAAUGGGCGCAAGCCUGAUCCAGCCACGCCGCGUGAGUGAUGAAGGCCUUCGGGUUGUAAAGCUCUGUGGGGAGGGGCGAAAACGGCCGGUAAGAAACGACCGGUCCUUGACGGUACCUCCUUAGCAAGCACCGGCUAACUCUGUGCCAGCAGCCGCGGUAAUACAGAGGGUGCGAACGUUGCUCGGAAUUACUGGGCGUAAAGCGCGUGUAGGCGGACGGGUAAGUCAGAUGUGAAAUCCCCGAGCUCAACUCGGGAACUGCAUUUGAAACUGCUCGUCUUGAGUAUCGGAGAGGGUGGCGGAAUUCCUGGUGUAGAGGUGAAAUUCGUAGAUAUCAGGAGGAACACCGGUGGCGAAGGCGGCCACCUGGACGAUCACUGACGCUGAGACGCGAAAGCGUGGGGAGCAAACAGGAUUAGAUACCCUGGUAGUCCACGCUGUAAACGAUGGGUGCUAGGUGUCUCGGGUAUUGACCCCCGAGGUGCCGUAGCUAACGCGUUAAGCACCCCGCCUGGGAAGUACGGUCGCAAGACUAAAACUCAAAGGAAUUGACGG